UACGAGGGGGGCAAGCGUUGUUCGGAAUUAUUGGGCGUAAAGGGCGCGUAGGCGGUGCGGUAAGUCACCUGUGAAAACUCUGGGCUCAACUCAGAGCCUGCAGGCGAAACUGCCGUGCUUGAGUGUGGGAGAGGUGCGUGGAAUUCCCGGUGUAGAGGUGAAAUUCGUAGAUAUCGGGAGGAACACCAGUGGCGAAGGCGGCGACCUGGGCCAAUAUUGACGCUGAGGUGCGAAAGCGUGGGGAGCAAACAGG
rnacentral:rRNA from 1 species